UUGGAGGGCAAGUCUGGUGCCAGCAGCCGCGGUAAUUCCAGCUCCAAUAGCGUAUAUUAAAGUUGUUGCAGUUAAAAAGCUCGUAGUUGAAUUUCGGGGUUAGUAGGUUGGUCAUGCCUCUGGUAUGUACUGGUCUCACUAAUUCCUCCUUCCUGAUGAGCCGUAAUGCCAUUAAUUUGGUGUUGCGGGGAAUUUGGACUGUUACUUUGAAAAAAUUAGAGUGUUUAAAGCAAGCUAACGCUUGAAUACAUUAGCAUGGAAUAAUGAAAUAGGACGUUCGAUCCUAUUUUGUUGGUUUCUAGGAUUGACGUAAUGAUUAAUAGGGAUAGUUGGGGGCAUUAGUAUUCAAUUGUCAGAGGUGAAAUUCUUGGAUUUAUUGAAGACUAACUACUGCGAAAGCAUUUGCCAAGGAUGUUUUCAUUAAUCAAGAACGAAAGUUAGGGGAUCGAAGACGAUCAGAUACCGUCGUAGUCUUAACCAUAAACUAUGCCGACUAGGGAUCGGAUGAUGUUAAUUUUUUAAUGACUCAUUCGGCGCCUUACGGGAAAC
rnacentral:rRNA from 1 species